rnacentral:rRNA from 1 species
GAUGAACGCUGGCGGCGUGCCUAAUACAUGCAAGUCGAGCGAAUGGAUUAAGAGCUUGCUCUUAUGAAGUUAGCGGCGGACGGGUGAGUAACACGUGGGUAACCUGCCCAUAAGACUGGGAUAACUCCGGGAAACCGGGGCUAAUACCGGAUAACAUUUUGAGCCGCAUGGUUCGAAAUUGAAAGGCGGCUUCGGCUGUCACUUAUGGAUGGACCCGCGUCGCAUUAGCUAGUUGGUGAGGUAACGGCUCACCAAGGCAACGAUGCGUAGCCGACCUGAGAGGGUGAUCGGCCACACUGGGACUGAGACAUGGCCCAGACUCCUACGGGAGGCAGCAGUAGGGAAUCUUCCGCAAUGGACGAAAGUCUGACGGAGCAACGCCGCGUGAGUGAUGAAGGCUUUCGGGUCGUAAAACUCUGUUGUUAGGGAAGAACAAGUGCUAGUUGAAUAAGCUGGCACCUUGACGGUACCUAACCAGAAAGCCACGGCUAACUACGUGCCAGCAGCGCCGUAA